GACGAACGCUGGCGGCGUGCCUAAUACAUGCAAGUCGAACGCGGAAGAGAGGAGCUUGCUCUGCUUGGAUGAGUUGCGAACGGGAGAGUAACGCGUAGGUAACCUGCCUUGUAGCGGGGGAUAACUAUUGGAAACGAUAGCUAAUACCGCAUAACAAUGGAUGACACAUGUCGUUUAUGUGAAAGGGGCAAGUGCUCCACGACAAGAGGGACCUGCGUUGUAUUAGCUAGUAGGUGAGGUAAGGGCGCACCUAGGCGAGGAUACAUAGCCGCCCUGAGAGGCGGCGCGGCAGCGCUGGGACGGGGACCCGCCCCAGUCUCCUUGGGGUGGCACCCGGAGUGCAUCUUCAGGAAUGGGUGCAACACUGACCGUGCUACGCCGCGGGCGUGCAGAAGGUUGCCGGGUCGUGAAGGUCUGUUAUGAGUCAGGAACGGGUGUGCGAGUGGGAAGUUCAGACUAUGACGGUAGCUGACCAGGAAGCGACGGCUAACUACGUG
rnacentral:rRNA from 1 species